rnacentral:rRNA from 1 species
GAUGAACGCUGGCGGCGUGCCUAAUACAUGCAAGUCGAGCGAACAGAUAAGGAGCUUGCUCCUUUGACGUUAGCGGCGGACGGGUGAGUAACACGUGGGUAACCUACCUAUAAGACUGGGAUAACUUCGGGAAACCGGAGCUAAUACCGGAUAAUAUUUCGAACCGCAUGGUUCGAUAGUGAAAGAUGGUUUUGCUAUCACUCAUAGAUGGACCCGCGCCGUAUUAGCUAGUUGGUAAGGUAACGGCUUACCAAGGCGACGAUACGUAGCCGACCUGAGAGGGUGAUCGGCCACACUGGAACUGAGACACGGUCCAGACUCCUACGGGAGGCAGCAGUAGGGAAUCUUCCGCAAUGGGCGAAAGCCUGACGGAGCAACGCCGCGUGAGUGAUGAAGGUCUUCGGAUCGUAAAACUCUGUUAUUAGGGAAGAACAUACGUGUAAGUAACUGUGCACGUCUUGACGGUACCUAAUCAGAAAGCCACGGCUAACUACGUGCCAGCAGCCGCGGUAAUACGUAGGUGGCAAGCGUUAUCCGGAAUUAUUGGGCGUAAAGCGCGCGUAGGCGGUUUUUUAAGUCUGAUGUGAAAGCCCACGGCUCAACCGUGGAGGGUCAUUGGAAACUGGAAAACUUGAGUGCAGAAGAGGAAAGUGGAAUUCCAUGUGUAGCGGUGAAAUGCGCAGAGAUAUGGAGGAACACCAGUGGCGAAGGCGACUUUCUGGUCUGUAACUGACGCUGAUGUGCGAAAGCGUGGGGAUCAAACAGGAUUAGAUACCCUGGUAGUCCACGCCGUAAACGAUGAGUGCUAAGUGUUAGGGGGUUUCCGCCCCUUAGUGCUGCAGCUAACGCAUUAAGCACUCCGCCUGGGGAGUACGACCGCAAGGUUGAAACUCAAAGGAAUUGACGGGGACCCGCACAAGCGGUGGAGCAUGUGGUUUAAUUCGAAGCAACGCGAAGAACCUUACCAAAUCUUGACAUCCUUUGACAACUCUAGAGAUAGAGCUUUCCCCUUCGGGGGACAAAGUGACAGGUGGUGCAUGGUUGUCGUCAGCUCGUGUCGUGAGAUGUUGGGUUAAGUCCCGCAACGAGCGCAACCCUUAAGCUUAGUUGCCAUCAUUAAGUUGGGCACUCUAAGAUGACUGCCGGUGACAAACCGGAGGAAGGUGGGGAUGACGUCAAAUCAUCAUGCCCCUUAUGAUUUGGGCUACACACGUGCUACAAUGGACAAUACAAAGGGCAGCGAAACCGCGAGGUCAAGCAAAUCCCAUAAAGUUGUUCUCAGUUCGGAUUGUAGUCUGCAACUCGACUACAUGAAGCUGGAAUCGCUAGUAAUCGUAGAUCAGCAUGCUACGGUGAAUAAGUUCCCGGGUCU